rnacentral:pre_miRNA from 1 species
ACAACAUUAGGGACCGUCGGUCUACCGAGCAAUAUCACCCGCUCGGUGGAAGAUCUUCCCUCCGUCGU